GAUGAACGCUGGCGGCGUGCCUAAUACAUGCAAGUCGAGCGAACAGACGAGGAGCUUGCUCCUCUGACGUUAGCGGCGGACGGGUGAGUAACACGUGGAUAACCUACCUAUAAGACUGGGAUAACUUCGGGAAACCGGAGCUAAUACCGGAUAAUAUAUUGAACCGCAUGGUUCAAUAGUGAAAGACGGUUUUGCUGUCACUUAUAGAUGGAUCCGCGCCGCAUUAGCUAGUUGGUAAGGUAACGGCUUACCAAGGCAACGAUGCGUAGCCGACCUGAGAGGGUGAUCGGCCACACUGGAACUGAGACACGGUCCAGACUCCUACGGGAGGCAGCAGUAGGGAAUAUUCCGCAAUGGGCGCAAGCCUGACGCAGCAACGCCGCGUGAGUGAUGAAGGUCUUCGGAUCGUAAAACUCUGUUAUUAGGGAAGAACAAAUGUGUAAGUAACUAUGCACGUCUUGACGGUACCUAAUCAGAAAGCCACGGCUAACUACGUG
rnacentral:rRNA from 1 species